UGGUUUGUGGGGGGCGGUGAUCGACUGUGGCGCCACCUGGUGGCAACGUGACGACAACUUCAUUUACACACAUCAGUCUGCUUCAUUCGAAAAGUGUACUAUUUGUACACACUGAAACUUCUUCUUUGAAAUGACAUUGAAAUCCCAUUUCCAUCUCAAAGAGAAGCUGAAAUAGCUUUCAAUGUGUUAAGAGUUGGUUCCGAGCCAAAACGCAGUCAAGUUGUUAAAAAUAUUUCCUGCAAGAAAGAUACUUUGACAGUGCAAUUUUGU